UCAAGUGCAAACAAGUAUUGGGUGGAGCAGGUGGUUAAAUUAGCUGAUAAAGAAAGAGAAAACCUGGAGGUUAUAAGGUUUCCUUCAAGAAUUUUAUUCGCACAUUAAUUCAAUAUAUGGUAUUUCAAAGAUAUCAUUUUAAAUAGCUUAAUUGUUUUAGGUAGAAGGAGUCUAAGUCAGACAUGAGUGAAAACAGUUGCAUGGAUCGUUUGUUUGUUGCUUAUUCUGAUAAAAUGCUUAAUCUGAUGCUGAUAAUGUCACAAUUGUGAAUAAGGUUUAAGAGACCCAAAUCCAUAUGAAACCUUAAAACAAGCACCAAGAGUGAAAGAUGUUUGAAUGUUGGACAUCAAUACAAGUUUAAUCUUUAGCUUUUACAUGCUACAUAUCAAUAAAGAAAGGGAUGUGGUGGUUGAACGACUGUAUCAUCGAUCAUGCUGAUUUACAGAUGGGAUAACGAUAUUAUUAGUUUAGUUGCCAAGGAGCAAAAGGAGAGGAAGAUUGCAAUUUCUUUUAAGGCCGAUGAAACAACAGAAGGUAAAAUUAGGUAGUUCAUGCCCAAGUUAACAGAAUUGGAUGUCGUUGGUAGACAUAUCUUCGAAUUCAGUGGGAUUAGUGUGUUUUUCAGUUGUAUGAACACCUUAAAAAUAUGCG